GAACAGCUGACAGACAGAGGGAUUUGAAUCACAAUCAAGACAGGAGGGAGGAUACACACGCUUCUGUCAUCCCUGCCACUGAAAGCAAGUCACAGCCUGUCACUUUAAGGAUGGCAGUGGAGCGCCAGGAAAUAAAAGCUGCACACUUCUCUACAGAUGAAGGCACACACUUGAUAAAAUUAUUCCUAUAGCCAGAAGCCCUCUUUUAGUCCUGCACAGCACCCUGGAGAAAUCCCCAGAGGCUCCAGUGGUUGCUCCAUGCCCUGGCCACGGUGAUCAGGUCAGUGACAGGACCCCUGAAUCAAAUCUUGG